UGUAGCUUAGUGACAGAGAAUUUGCCUAACAUGCAAAAGGCUCUGGGUUCAAUCCCUAGCA
rnacentral:tRNA from 1 species